UUGGCCUUGAUGACCUUACAGAUGUUUUCUGACCUAAAUGAUUCUGUGAUUCUGUGGUUUUAGCUGUGCCUAUACUAGUAACAACCACACUCUUGCCAAUAUGCAAGUAGUCUAUGAUGAGGCAUCUCAAAACAUGACCAGAGCAAAUAGCUGACAUGGGUAUCAAAAACUUCUGCUGGUGAAUGGCACUUCUGCUCCAAUACUGAUAUUCCCACUUGUAGGAAGUGGUGAGGGUGAAUAUCUUGAAUAAUGUCUGUGGCCCACAACAAUAUACAAAGAUCUUCCUUGGACUCACAGGCGAGCAGUGAAAAUGGCACGUUUUGAUGGGAAUAAACUGUUAUGGACUGAGACAAGGGAAAAGACCCAGCAGACCUAAGAGCACUUCUCCACCGUAUGAGUGAGAGUAUGAGCCAGAUCUCCAGCUGCCACCACCUGAUGUCACUUUGUGGACAUAUCUCAAGCCAGAGGAGGAAGGAGAGGCUCUUCUGAGUCAAGCUCUUACUCUGUAUGUGGAUUCCUGGCUUUGCCAUGGUACCACCCUGGAGAACUUAAUCUUGGAGGCAUUAUUCACAUUUACCAAAGGGUCUACAUCAUCAGAUCAGAGAAAAAAGAGAUCCAGAGGGAUUUUCCCUCUUACAGUUCUUGGUUUCUCCAGAAAUUUUGGCACCCGAACACCUGAAUUUUGAAGACUUCACUUCUUAGUCCUUGCAGUGUUGUUUUAG